rnacentral:ncRNA from 1 species
UGUCAUUGAGGGUAGAAUCAAUGUUGCCUUUCCCACAAAUAUGUACAAUUUGAUACUCUUCAAGGAGCUUAUGUAGAUUGUGACGAAUUGCUUCAUUUAUUUUUUGAGCUCCUAAACUUCCUCCCAUUAUGAGUAAGAUAGGUUUUUGCUCAUGAAAGCCUAAUAAACGUCUCC